ACUAUUUUGGCAGAUUAGUGCAAUAAAUUUAGAAUUUAUUUAUGUAAUUUCUAUUACAAAUAGUA
rnacentral:tRNA from 1 species